AACUUAUCCAGAGAGGUGUAGGGACUGGCCCUUUGAUACCUCAGCAACCAGCCAUUGGCACGGUGCUAAAUCCAGAAGGUAGUAGUUAUACCUUGAAGAUAAGGA
rfam:Halobacillus karajensis, HD-03, WGS project CCDI01000000 data, contig: 000004